rnacentral:rRNA from 1 species
UGGGGAAUUUUGGACAAUGGGCGAAAGCCUGAUCCAGCAAUGCCGCGUGUGUGAAGAAGGCCUUCGGGUUGUAAAGCACUUUUGUCCGGAAAGAAAUCCUUGGCUCUAAUACAGUCGGGGGAUGACGGUACCGGAAGAAUAAGCACCGGCUAACUACGUGCCAGCAGCCGCGGUAAUACGUAGGGUGCAAGCGUUAAUCGGAAUUACUGGGCGUAAAGCGUGCGCAGGCGGUUUGCUAAGACCGAUGUGAAAUCCCCGGGCUCAACCUGGGAACUGCAUUGGUGACUGGCAGGCUAGAGUAUGGCAGAGGGGGGUAGAAUUCCACGUGUAGCAGUGAAAUGCGUAGAGAUGUGGAGGAAUACCGAUGGCGAAGGCAGCCCCCCUGGGCCAAUANUGACGCUCAUGCACGAAAGCGUGGGGAGCAAAC